rnacentral:Y_RNA from 1 species
UGCUGGUCUGAGGGCAGUGGUGUUUAUGACUAAUUGAUCACAACCGGUUACAGAUUUCUUUGUUCUUUCUCUACUCGCACUGCUUCACUUGACUACCUUUA